rnacentral:rRNA from 1 species
AUUGAACGCUGGCGGCAUGCCUUACACAUGCAAGUCGAACGGCAGCGGACCUUCGGGUGCCGGCGAGUGGCGAACGGGUGAGUAAAGUAUCGGAACGUACCUUACAGUGGGGGAUAACGUAGCGAAAGUUACGCUAAUACCGCAUAUUCUCUGAGGAGGAAUGCAGGGGACCUUCGGGCCUUGUGCUGAUCGAGCGGCCGAUAUCAGAUUAGCUAGUUGGUGAGGUAAAGGCUCACCAAGGCGACGAUAUGUAGCGGGUCUGAGAGGAUGAUCCGCCACACUGGAACUGAGACACGGUCCAGACUCCUACGGGAGGCAGCAGUGGGGAAUUUUGGACAAUGGGGGCAACCCUGAUCCAGCCAUGCCGCGUGAGUGAAGAAGGCCUUCGGGUUGUAAAGCUCUUUCGGCCGGGAAGAAAUCGCGCAGGCUAAUACCCUGUGUGGAUGACGGUACCGGAAUAAGAAGCACCGGCUAACUACGUGCCAGCCGCCGCAGUAAUAC